ensembl:snRNA U6 U6 spliceosomal RNA
GUGCUCACUUCACUGGCACAUAUACUAAAACUGGGAUGAUACAGAAAAGAUUUGUAUGGCUCCUGCACAAGGAUGACGCUCAAAUUCGUGAAGCAUUUCAUAUUUUU